rnacentral:rRNA from 1 species
AUUGAACGCUGGCGGCAUGCCUUACACAUGCAAGUCGAACGGUAACGGGCCUUCGGGCGCCGACGAGUGGCGAGCGGGUGAGUAAUGCAUCGGAACGUACCUUUCAGUGGGGGAUAACGUAGCGAAAGUUACGCUAAUACCGCAUAUUCUGUGAGCAGGAAAGCAGGGGAUCGCAAGACCUUGCGCUGAUUGAGCGGCCGAUGUCGGAUUAGCUAGUUGGUGAGGGAAAGGCUCACCAAGGCGACGAUCUGUAGCUGGUCUGAGAGGAUGAUCCGCCACACGGGAACUGAGACACGGUCCAGACUCCUACGGGAGGCAGCAGUGGGGAAUUUUGGACAAUGGGGGCAACCCUGAUCCAGCCAUGCCGCGUGAGUGAAGAAGGCCUUCGGGUUGUAAAGCUCUUUCGGCCGGGAAGAAAUCGUAUGGGCUAAUACCCUGUGCGGAUGACGGUACCGGCAUAAGAAGCACCGGCUAACUACGUGCCAGCCGCCGCGGUAAAAU